UUGAGCGUGUAUUGCCAGGUAUCCUCCGACUCCACCACAGUUUCAUCGCCGAAAUGGUCGCCGUCGGCGAACACAUCUAAUACGAUUUCCUCGCCAUACUUACCAGUACCAAUUUUAUUUACCUUGCCAUGAGCAAUGAGGAUCACGCGAUCGGCAGAUUGACCCAGCUCAACGAUCGUGUCGCCAGCGGCGUACUCUUCCUGUAAAAACUGGUUUGCCAAGACAGUCAACACAUCAAGGUUGUCAAACCCUCUCAGUAAGGGCAACUCAGUAAGUUCGUGGGGAAUCACUCGCACCGUUGCGCCAGUGUUGGUAAAAGUCAAUUUUCCAUCACCGACGGUAUAACUCAACCGACGGUUAACGCGAUAUACACCACCCUUAGUCUGCACCCAAGGCAAUAAUUUCAACAACCACCGGGAUGUAAUUUCCUGCAUCUGCGGUGCAGAUUUGGUUGUUGUUGCCAAAUUUCUGGCGGCGGCUGUCCCCAAACUUAAUUGGGGUUGUUGACCU
rnacentral:antisense_RNA from 1 species